AAACAUAAAAAUGAGGUCAUAUAAAAAAGAAGAUGUGGUAUGAUUGCCAAUGAGACAACUAUCCACAAAAGACCAAAAUGACACAGACAUUAACAACUAUAGGUCACUGUACGGCCUUCAACAAUGAGCAAAGCCCAUACCGCAUAGUCAGCUAUAAAAGGCCCUGAUAAGACAAUGUAAAACAAUUCAAACGAGAAAACUAACGGCCUUAUUUAUGUAAAAACAAUGAACGAAAAACAAAUAUGUUACACAUAAACAGAC
rnacentral:lncRNA from 1 species